rnacentral:tRNA from 1 species
AGGGGCGUAGUUUAAUGGUAGAACAGCGGUCUCCAAAACCGCUGGUGCGGGUUCGAUUCCUGCCGCCCCUG